UGGCCACAUUAAUUUGGAACACCGGUUCUCUUACGAUCACCAAAGUUAAGGAACAUCGAGCCUGGUCAAUAACUAGAUGGGUAAACGCCCGGGAAUAGCAAGUGCUGUAAG
rnacentral:rRNA from 1 species